rnacentral:misc_RNA from 1 species
GGAAGUAAAAGUCGUAAACAAGGUUUCCGUAGGUGAACCUGCGGAAGGAUCAUUAUUGUAUAACCGAGGUGCGAGGGCUGUCGCUGACCCGAAAGGUCGAGCACGCCCGAGUGCCCUCACACACAUCCAUCUCACCCCUAUGUGCACCACCGCGUGGGUCCCCCUUUGGCUUGUUCGGAGGGGGGCCUACGUUUUCACACAAACUUUGUAUGCAGUGUAGAAUGUAUUUUUUGUUUUUGCGAUCACGCAAUCAAUACAACUUUCAACAACGGAUCUCUUGGCUCUC